AGGACGAACGCUGGCGGCGUGCUUAACACAUGCAAGUCGAGCGGAAAGGCCCUUCGGGGUACUCGAGCGGCGAACGGGUGAGUAACACGUGAGCAACCUGCCCUUAGCUCCGGGAUAGCUCCGGGAAACCGGAAUUAAUACCGGAUAUGACCUAGGCCGACAUCGGCUGUGGUGGAAAGUUUUUCGGCUGGGGAUGGACUCGCGGCCUAUCAGCUUGUUGGUGGGGUAAUGGCCUACCAAGGCGACGACGGGUAGCCGGCCUGAGAGGGCGACCGGCCACACUGGGACUGAGACACGGCCCAGACUCCUACGGGAGGCAGCAGUGGGGAAUAUUGCGCAAUGGGCGAAAGCCUGACGCAGCGACGCCGCGUGGGGAUGAAUGCCUUCGGGUUGUAAACCCCUUUCAGCAGGGACGAAGCGAAAGUGACGGUACCUGCAGAAGAAGCGCCGGCUAACUACGCGCCAGCAGCCGC
rnacentral:rRNA from 1 species